rnacentral:rRNA from 1 species
GUUAGAACGCUCGUAGUCGGAUUUCGGGGCUUGUCGUCCGGUCUGCCGAUGGGUACGCACUGGACGACGCGUCCUUCCUUCCGGAGACCGUCUCACUCUUAACUGAGCGGAGGCGGGAGACGGAACGUUUACUUUGAAAAAAUCAGAGUGUUUCAAGCAGGCAGCUCGCUCUUGCAUGGAUUAGCAUGGGAUAAUGAAAUAGGACUUUGGUGCUAUUUUGUUGGUUUCGAACACCGAAGUAAUGAUGAGAAGGGACAGUCAGGGGCACUCGUAUUCCGCCGAGAGAGGUGAAAUUCUCAGACCAGCGGAAGACGAACCACUGCGAAAGCAUUUGCCAGGGAUGUUUUCACUGAUCAAGAACGAAAGUUAGGGGAUCGAAGACGAUCAGAUACCGUCGUAGUCUUAACCAUAAACCAUGCCGACUAGGGAUUGGAGGAUGUUCACUUAUUGACUCCUUCAGCACCUUACGGGAAACUAAAGUCUUUGGGUUCCGGGGGGAGUAUGGUCGCAAGGCUGAAACUUAAAGGAAUUGACGGAAGGGCACCACCAGGUGUGGAGCCUGCGGCUUAAUUUGACUCAACACGGGGAAACUUACCAGGUCCAGACAUUGUGAGGAUUGACAGAUUGAGAGCUCUUUCUUGAUUCGAUGGGUGGUGGUGCAUGGCCGUUCUUAGUUGGUGGAGUGAUUUGUCUGGUUAAUUCCGUUA